AUUAGACUCAGUGCAAUUCUUUUAGGAUUAAUCAUUUUAAGUACGUUCUUCAGUCAACGUAAACUUAUCUAUAUUUUUCACAUUACCAUCACGUAUGGUGAUGUUGAUGAGUACAUUAGCAAUUAAGAAACUACUAAGUAUAUACAUCGACUAGCACGUAUUUAACGCAGGAAAGAAUGAAACGAAUGGAGAAAUAAUGAUAAGGCGAAAUCACUGUUACUAUGAUAACAAAAAUGGCUGUUGCAAUGUCAAUACUUCCAAACUUCUAUUUUGGGCAUUUAUGCGGAAUGGGGGACACGUGGAAGGCAAAGUUAAAACAAAUCCAAUUGCAAGAAUCGCCUUCGUUUUGGAGAGUUUCACGACUAUUGUAUUGGGGACAGUGACGGCAGAAGAGCAGCUGCUUUCUUAGUUCCUAAAGAAAUAAUUAUUGUUUUCGAGUAAACUUUGACUAGAGUGGCGUGUUAACGAUCGAAAUCACAGAAUCGUACAUAUCUACAUGAAACAAUUUGGAAAUAUCAAUUGAGGUAUCAUUUGCACUGGAAUGAUAACAUUGAGGAGGGCUGGAGUAGAUAUCGUGGUUUCUUCAUUAUUUAAUAUGUUUAUCUGCAUGUGUGGAAAACAAAUGGAAACUGAUAGCUGAUAAAGAAAAUCUCCGUUCUUGCAGUUGAUUAAUCAGUGAUUUCUCGGCAUCUUGAAAUGGACUAUUUAACGGGAAAAAAUGAGUUAACACACAGCUUUCGUACGCCGGAUGAUAGAAUCAAUUAACGUACCAUAUAUAUAUAUAAAAAUAAUAAAGAAAAAGUUAGCAUAGCUUUAAUUUGGAAAUCGGACCGGAUGCCUUAUAUUGUUUGCCAGACUUUUUGGAUAUACACACCACAUCGUACAUACCCACAUACUCUACUAUGGUGGUACCGACAUCAGAGUACUCCUAAGUCAAUGUUUCUUGGGAGGAAGAGGCAUCAACAUUUCAAAACAAAGAAGAAAUAGGCAAAAUAUUCUGAUCUACAAUAUUGAGCUACCGAAAAGCGCAAUGUUUGCUGAAAUAACCAAAGGUGAACUGUAUGUCAACACGCAUUACUAUAAAUUUAUCUACCUUCAAAAUCUGAGUUCAAGAUCUAAUCUUAUAUGUAUGUAGCUACUUACUGCGCUUUCGGACAUG